AAGUCGAGCGAACAGACGAGGAGCUUGCUCCUCUAACGUUAGCGGCGGACGGGUGAGUAACACGUGGAUAACCUACCUAUAAGACUGGGAUAACUUCGGGAAACCGGAGCUAAUACCGGAUAAUAUAUUGAACCGCAUGGUUCAAUAGUGAAAGACGGUUUUGCUGUCACUUAUAGAUGGAUCCGCGCCGCAUUAGCUAGUUGGUAAGGUAACGGCUUACCAAGGCAACGAUGCGUAGCCGACCUGAGAGGGUGAUCGGCCACACUGGAACUGAGACACGGUCCAGACUCCUACGGGAGGCAGCAGUAGGGAAUCUUCCGCAAUGGGCGAAAGCCUGACGGAGCAACGCCGCGUGAGUGAUGAAGGUCUUCGGAUCGUAAAACUCUGUUAUUAGGGAAGAACAAAUGUGUAAGUAACUAUGCACGUCUUGACGGUACCUAAUCAGAAAGCCACGGCUAACUACGUGCCAGCAGCCGCGGUAAUACGUAGGUGGCAAGCGUUAUCCGGAAUUAUUGGGCGUAAAGCGCGCGUAGGCGGUUUUUUAAGUCUGAUGUGAAAGCCCACGGCUCAACCGUGGAGGGUCAUUGGAAACUGGAAAACUUGAGUGCAGAAGAGGAAAGUGGAAUUCCAUGUGUAGCGGUGAAAUGCGCAGAGAUAUGGAGGAACACCAGUGGCGAAGGCGACUUUCUGGUCUGUAAC
rnacentral:rRNA from 1 species